AGCGCGCCUUGCUCACCGUGGUCCCCGGCGGUGGCGGCGCGGGCGGGAGCCUCAGGGCGCGGGGGUCGGCGGCGGGUCGCGUGGGGGUCACCCGGCCGCUGCUGCGGUCCGGACGGCAGUUGGUCCAGUAGUUUCGGAUGCCCGGGCUAGGCUCGGCGGAGAGCGAGUCGGCGUGAAUGAGAGCAAACCAACAGGGCUGUGCGUGGCGCGUAAAGAAGUGUUGAAGAAGAGAGAGACAGAAGAAAAUCACCAUAAAAAGUCAGACACGAGAGCUUAGAAGUCAAUUAAGACAGGGCUUGGAAGGGGCAUUAGGAAUUCUGUGCUCAAGAAUUUUUGCAUCCAUCAAAUCCUAGAAAUUAGAGUCCGCACAUUACUACCAGGUUUUUGGGGAACCGGUGUUACAUGAAGGUGCUGUUAACACUGGGAGUAGUGCUUUCUCUUAUUGAGAAAAAAAAAACACCUCUGUUUGCAUCUGUAGACAAAGAUCUGUUCAGAAUGGUUGGCUUUGUGAGAAACAUUCCACCUCUCAGGCUGUGAAGCUAAGACUUACUGCCAUUGAAAAUGAGAAGAAGAGACUAGUAGAGACAGCUGAGACCAAACACUUUAAUUGAGUCAACAGAAGGAUUCAAUUUAAACCUCCAACAAACAGAAUGGCUGUAAGACAAGUUGCAUUUGAUUGGCAAGAACCAAACACUUGAUGUGUCUGGAAUUGGUAGCUUCUUGGUCUCACUGACUUCAAAAAUGAAGCCACG
rnacentral:lncRNA from 1 species